rnacentral:rRNA from 1 species
UACAGCAGCCAUAGCACCAUGGGUGCGCCCGAUCUUGUCUGAUCUUGGAAGCUAGGCAGGGUUGGGCCCGGUUAGAACUUGGAAGGGAGAAUUAGCUAAAGAGCUUCAGGAA